rnacentral:rRNA from 1 species
UCAAGUUACUAAGGGUGCAUGGUGGAUGCCUAGGCGUCGAGAGGCGAAGAAGGACGUGGUAGGCUGCGAUAAGCUCCGGGGAGCUGUCAAACGAGCAUUGAUCCGGAGAUUUCCGAAUGGGGAAACCCGGCGUCACUCCGCAAGGAGAUGGCGUCACGGCAGGCUGAAUGCAUAGGCCUGUGCGAGCAAACCCAGGGAACUGACACAUCUCAGUACCUGGAGGAAAAGAAAUCAACCGAGAUUCCGUUAGUAGCGGCGAGCGAAAGCGGACCUAGCCCAAACCGGGUUUCGGCCCGGGGUUGCGGAAGCAGAGAGCGGUUACAAAGGCAUUGUUAGCGGAAGUGCUUGGAAAGGCACACCACAGAGGGUGACAGUCCCGUACGCGACAACAACUGCCCCGCGUUACCAUCUGCUCUCCAGAGUAGCACGGAGCUCGUGGAACUCCGUGUGAAGCCGGGGGGCCCACCCUCCAAGGCUAAAUACUACUCGACGACCGAUAGUGAACAAGUAAGGUGACUGAAAGGUGGAAAGAACCCCUACUAGGGGAGUUAUAAGAACCUGAAACCGUGUACCUACAAGCGGUCGGAGCUCGAUGUUCACCUUCGGGUGGACCGAGUGACGGCGUACCUUUUGCAUAAUGGACCGGCGAGUUAUUCUCAGCGGCUUGGUUAAGCACUUCCGGUGCGGAGCCGUAGCGAAAGCGAGUCUGAAAUGGGCGAUAUGUCGCUGGGGAUAGACCCGAAACCAGGUGAUCUACCCAUGGACAGGUUGAAGUGCCCGUAAAAGGGUGCGGAGGACCGAAGCCGUGAACGUUGAAAAGUUCUGGCAUGAGCUGUGGGGAGGAGUAAAAGUCUAAUCAAACCUGGAGAUAUCUGGUUCUCCUCGAAAUGUUUUUUGGAACAGCCUCGGGCCACUACGUCAUGGGGGUAGAGCUACUGAAUGAAACGCGGGAGCCACCAGCUUGCCGCCUUCAAUCAAACUCCGAAUACCAUGACGACUAUCCCGGGAGUGAGUCCACGAGGUCAAUCUCCGUGGACGAAAGGGGAAAAACCCAGCUCGCCUGCUAAGGUCCCCAAUUUACGCUCAGUGCAUAAGGAAGUUUGGCUUCCGAGACAUCGGGGAUGUUGGCUUAGAAGCAGCCACCAUUUAAAAAGUGCGUAACAGCUUACCCGACGAGAAACCAAGCGCCGAUAAUGAUCGGGACUAAGCGUAAAACCGAAGCAGCGGAUUCGUACGGCCUGCGGGCUUGUACGAGUGGUAGAGGAGCGUUGAUCAGCAGAUACGGGCCAUACCGUAAGGAGUGGUGGCGGGCUGAUCAAGUGAUAAUGCCGGUAUGAGUAACGAUAAACCGGGUGUAAUUCCCGGUCGCCGUAAACCUAAGGUUUCCUGGGGAAGGGCAAUCCGCCCAGGGUUAGCCGGAUCCUAAGACCAGGCCGAAAGGCGUAGUCGAUGGACAGCAGGUUAAUAUUCCUGCGCCGCGUCAUGCGGUUGAACCAUGCGUGCGUUUUUCCAAGCUGCAGCCCACCAUGAGACGUGAGGGUUCCCGAGAGGGCACCAGGCGCUUUGUUCCUGGUAGUGCGGGGCGGAAGAACCGAGAAAAGCGUAUGGGGACAAGUGGCGCGUCCGUACUAAAACUGACACAGGUAGGUGAGGCGAGUAGCCUCAGGCGCUCGAGAGAACCGUCCUUAAGGAACUAGGCAAUUUUACCCCGUAACUUCGGGAUAAGGGGUCCCUUUUCCGCUGCAGCAAUGUUGCGGGCGAGGGCGCAGAAAAUCGGCACUGGCGACUGUUUAUCAAAAACACAGGUCUCUGCCAAGUCGCACAGACGACGUAUAGAGACUGACGCCUGCUCGGUGCGGGAAUGUUAAGGAAGCCGGUCAGGGGCAACCCGAAGCUGGCAACCGAAGCACCCGUAAACGGCGGCCCUAACUAUGAGGGUCCUAAGGUAGCGAAAUUCCUUGUCGGGUAAGUUCCGACGCGCAUGAAUGG